ACGAACGCUGGCGGCGUGCUUAACCCCUGCAAGUCGCACGGAAAGGCCCUGCUUUUGUGGGGUGCUCGAGUGGCGAACGGGUGAGUAACACGUGAGUAACCUGCCCUUGACUUUGGGAUAACUUCAGGAAACUGGGGCUAAUACCGGAUAGGAGCUCCUGCUGCAUGGUGGGGGUUGGAAAGUUUCGGCGGUUGGGGAUGGACUCGCGGCUUAUCCGCUUGUUGGUGGGGUAGUGGCUUACCAAGGCUUUGACGGGUAGCCGGCCUGAGAGGGUGACCGGCCACAUUGGGACUGAGAUACGGCCCAGACUCCUACGGGAGGCAGCAGUGGGGAAUAUUGCACAAUGGGCGGAAGCCUGAUGCAGCAACGCCGCGUGCGGGAUGACGGCCUUCGGGUUGUAAACCGCUUUCGCCUGUGACGAAGCGUGAGUGACGGUAAUGGGUAAAGAAGCACCGGCUAACUACGUG
rnacentral:rRNA from 1 species